UGCAUGUCUAGUAUAAGCAUUAUACCCUGAAACUGCCAAUGGGUCAAUAAAUCCGUUAUCGGUUAUUUGAUAAUACCUUACUACUUGGAUUACCGUGGUAAAUCUUGAAGUAAUAAAUGCUUAAAACCCCGAACUUGGAAAGGGGGUGUUUAUUAAAAAAAAAAACCAUGGCCUUCCGGGCUCCUUGGUGAAUCCUGAUAACCUUACCGAUCCCAUGGGCCUGGGCCGGGGAAGGGUCAUUCCAAUUUCUGCCCUAUCCACUUUCCAUGGGAAGGGAUUGGCCUACCCUGGUUUCCACGGGUAACGGGGAAUUAAGGUUCCAUUCCCGAAAAGGAGCCCGAAAAACGGGUACCACCUCCCAAGAAAGCAGCAGGGGCGCAAAUUACCCAAUCCCCACCCCGGGAGGUAGUGACCAUAAAUACUGAUUCCGGGCUCUUUUGGGUCUUGGAAUUGGAAUGAGUACCAUUUAAAUCCCUUAACCAGGAACAAUUGGAGGGCAAGUCUGGUGCCAGCAGCCCCGGUAAUUCCAGCUCCCAUAACGUAUAUUAAAGUUGGUGCAGUUAAAAAGCUCGUAAUUGAAACUUGGGCCUGGGUGGGCGGUCCGCCUCACCCCGUGGACUGGUCCGGGCGGGGCUUUCCUUCUGGGGAACCCCAUGCCCUUCACUGGGCUGGGGCGGGGAACCAGGACUUUUACCUUGAAAAAAUUAAAAGUGUCAAAGCAAGCCUAUGCUCCAAUCACUUUACAUGGAAUAAUUAAAAUAGGACGUGGGGUUCUAUUUUGUUGGGUUCCUAAGACCGCCGUAAUGAUUAAAUAGGGACAAGUCGGGGGCCAUCAGUAUCCAUUGUCAGAGGUGAAAUUCUUGGAUUGAUGAAGACUAACUACUGCGAAGGCAUUGGCCAGGAUGUUUUCAUUAUCAUAACAAAGGUAGGGAUCGAGACGAACAAUACCGUCGUAGUCUAACGUAACUAUGCGACUAGGAUCGGCGAGUAUUAUUGACCGUCGGCACCUUACGAAUCAAGCUUCUUCUGGGGAUAUGUCCAGCUGACAG
rnacentral:rRNA from 1 species